UCCGGCGCCAUAGGGAUGUGGGCUGCGGCCGAUUUAGGUAGACGGUGGGGUAACGCCCCACCCGUGCCCAGUAAUCGGUACGGGGUGAUGAGAGUCAGAGCCCGGGAGACGGGUAUCUGAGACAAGAUACCGGGGCCCUACGGGGCGCAGCAGGCGCGAAAACCUUUACACUGCACGACAGUGCGAUAGGGGGACUCCAAGUGCGAGGGCAUACAGUCCUCGCUUUUGUGCACCGUAAGGUGGUGCAGGAACAAGUGCUGGGCAAGACCGGUGCCAGCCGCCGCGGUAAUACCGGCAGCACGAGUGAUGGCCGAUAUUAUUGGGCCUAAAGCGUUCGUAGCUGGCCAGACAAGUCUGUUGGGAAAUCCACGCGCCCAACGCGUGGGCGUCCAGCGGAAACUGUUUGGCUUGGGGCCGGAAGACUCGAGGGGUACGUCCGGGGUAGGAGUGAAAUCCCGUAAUCCUGGACGGACCACCGGUGGCGAAAGCGCCUCGAGAAGACGGACCCGACGGUGAGGAACGAAAGCCAGGGUCUCGAACCGGAUUAGAUACCCGGGUAGUCCUGGCCUUAAACGAUGUCGCUAGGUGUGGCGCAGGCUACGAGCCUGUGCUGUGCCGUAGGGAAGG
rnacentral:rRNA from 1 species